rnacentral:misc_RNA from 1 species
UUUGUUUUUUAAUUAAAAACUAGAAUGAAAGGUUAUACAUUCAAAUUUCUUUAUUAAUUUUUUAUAAAUAAUUUAUAUUAAAUAUAAAAAUAUAUUUUUAAAUAAAAAAGACGACAAGACCCUAUUAAAUUUAACUUAUAGUUUAGCUGGGGAAGCUUUUUAAAUAAAAUUUUUAUAUAAUUUUUAAAAAUAUAUUUAAUAAAAUUAAAAAUAAAAUAAAUUACUAUAGGGAUAACAGCGUUAUAUUUUUUAAAAGUUCUUAUUUAAAAAAAUGAUUGCGACCUCGAUGUUGAAUUAUAUUUUCUAUAUUAAUGCAAUAAUUAUAAAAGUAGAUCUGUUCGAUCUUUAAAAUAUUACAUGAUUUGAGUUCAAACCGGUGUAAACCAGGUUGGUUUCUAUCUUUUUAUAUAUAUAUAUAUUUUUUUAGUACGAAAGGAAAAAAAAAUUUUUAUUUUAAUUAUUUAGCAAAUUAAUAUGCAUUAGAUUUAGAAUCUAAAUAAAAUAUUAU